rnacentral:rRNA from 1 species
AGAGUUUGAUCCUGGCUCAGGACGAACGCUGGCGGCGCGCCUAACACAUGCAAGUCGAACGAGAGAUGAGGAGCUUGCUCUUCAAAUCGAGUGGCGAACGGGUGAGUAACGCGUGAGGAACCUGCCUCAAAGAGGGGGACAACAGUUGGAAACGACUGCUAAUACCGCAUAAGCCCACGGCUCGGCAUCGAGCAGAGGGAAAGGAGCAAUCCGCUUUGAGAUGGCCUCGCGUCCGAUUAGCUAGUUGGUGAGGGUAACGGCCCACCAAGGGCGACGAUCGGUAGCCGGACUGAGAGGUUGAACGGCCACAUUGGGACUGAGACACGGACCCAGACUCCGUACGGGAGGCA